CCCCCUCUCAAUAAUUUAACUAAUUUAACAUUGUCAUAGGCCUUUCAGCAAAAAGAAAGUCUAUAUGUUUGUGACAGUUAACAACCAUGUGUAUAAAAAGCACACCCUCUCAAAUAAAUCCCCAUGAUAAUCUACUGUUCUUUAUGAAAACCUAAUGUACGUAGUACAUCGAAUAUAGAGUCUGGAUAUAAAAUCAUCCAAUAAUUAUGCGCACUAUACAAAUAUUUCCCUCCCUUUUCAUCUUAACCCAUUAAGCACCAGCGCUCUCCCCUCGACGAGUAAAAUCGUCUGGCAUUAGACAGAGUAAAAUGCUAAAGUAGGCUGCAUCAGGGUGCAUUGCCACUCAAUGGGUUAACUAGACACAUGGGCAGAUAGGCCAGUUAACCCAUUAAGCGCCAGCGCUCUCCCCU